rnacentral:rRNA from 1 species
CCUACGGGGGGCAGCAGUGGGGAAUAUUGGACAAUGGGGGGAACCCUGAUCCAGCGACGCCGCGUGAGUGAAGAAGUAUUUCGGUAUGUAAAGCUCUAUCAGCAGGGAAGAAAGAAAUGACGGUACCUGACUAAGAAGCCCCGGCUAACUACGUGCCAGCAGCCGCGGUAAUACGUAGGGGGCAAGCGUUAACCGGAUUUACUGGGUGUAAAGGGAGCGUAGACGGUUACGCAAGUCUGGAGUGAAAGGCGGGGGCUCAACCCCCGGACUGCUUUGGAAACUGUAUAACUGGAGUGCAGGAGAGGUAAGUGGAAUUCCUAGUGUAGCGGUGAAAUGCGUAGAUAUUAGGAGGAACACCAGUGGCGAAGGCGGCUUACUGGACUGUAACUGACGUUGAGGCUCGAAAGCGUGGGGAGCAAACAGGAUUAGAUACCCUUGUAGUC